rnacentral:siRNA from 1 species
AUAAACUCUAGACCGAAAUUGUAA